rnacentral:tRNA from 1 species
UUAAUGGCAGUGUAAGAGCACAAAGAGCUUUGAUUUCUUCUGAGAGGGACACACCCCUCCCAUUAAG